rnacentral:rRNA from 1 species
GCGGCCUAUCAGGUAGUUGGUGAGGUAACGGCUCACCAAGCCGACGACGGGUAGGGGGCGUGAGAGCGUGGCCCCCCACACGGGAACUGAGACACGGUCCCGACGCCUACGGGCGGCAGCAGUGAGGAAUCUUGCCCAAUGGGGGAAACCCUGAGGCAGCGACACCGCGUGCGGGAUGAAGGCCUUCGGGUCGUAAACCGCUUUUCUGGGGGACGAGUAAGGACGGUACUCCAGGAAUAAGUCCCGGCUAACUACGUGCCAGCAGCCGCGGUAAAACGUAGGGGGCGAGCGUUAUCCGGAAUCACUGGGCGUAAAGGGCGUCUAGGCGGCAGCCUAAGUCCCGUGUGAAAGCUCCCGGCUCAACUGGGAGAGGGCAUGGGAGACUGGGCAGCUAGAGACUCGGAGGGGGGUGUGGAAUUCCCGGUGGAGUGGUGGAAUGCGUUGAGAUCGGGAGGAACACCAGUAGCGAAGGCGGCACCCUGGCCGAGAUCUGACGCUGAAGCGCGAGAGCGUGGGGAGCGAACGGGAUUAGAUACCCCGGUAGUCCACGCCGUAAACGAUGACAACUAGGUGUUGGGUGUCCAAGGAUGCUCAGUACCGCAGCAAACGCGAUAA